rnacentral:rRNA from 1 species
CCUACGUGAGGCAGCAGUGAGGAAUAUUGGUCAAUGGGCGAAAGCCUGACGCAGCGACGCCGCGUGAGGGAUGAAGGUCUUCGGAUCGUAAACCUCUGUCAGCAGGGAAGAACGGUCACUGUGCUAAUCAGCAGUGAAUUGACGGUACCUGCAAAGGAAGCACCGGCUAACUCCGUGCCAGCAGCCGCGGUAAUACGGAGGGUGCGAGCGUUAAUCGGAAUUACUGGGCGUAAAGCGCUCGUAGGCGGUAUGUCAAGUCAAGGGUGAAAUCCCCGCGCUCAACGUGGGAACUGCCUUUGAAACUGGCAAACUGGAGUGUGUGAGAGGAUAGUGGAAUUCCAGGUGUAGGAGUGAAAUCCGUAGAUAUCUGGAGGAACAUCAGUGGCGAAGGCGACUAUCUGGCACAUAACUGACGCUGAGGAGCGAAAGCGUGGGUAGCAAACAGGAUUAGAUACCCCAGUAGUC